rnacentral:rRNA from 1 species
AUGGAUUCUGAUCGCAGAAUCUUCAAAGUGCACUUGACACCCCAGAUUAGCAUCCAAGAACUACCAGUCAUCGAGUCAAGCAUGAUCAGUAAACGGAAUCUUUCCAAUGCAUGGCUGGUGGCUUGUGGAGAUAUGCUUCUCUUGGUCGGCUGUCGGGGAUCUAUCGUAGUAUCAGGGGUAACCUUUGAAGUCUUUCGCCUUGACCUAUCGUUUGAGCCUGCAUUGUGGUUCAAGGUGGAGAAGCUAGAGCAUUGGGCUAUAUUCAUCAGCACGGACAAGAGAAGCCAGGCAUUGUCUUGCAUGAACCCGGAGAUAUGGGGAGGGCGGAGCAACUGCAUAUACUGCUAUAACCAUGAGUCUGAACGUUGGAUUGCACUUGAGCUGGGCAAACCGCUACAGGGAGAUGUCUUUAUUUUCAUGGGCUGUGACGGCAAGGUGCAACCUAUGUGGGUUGUCCCCAGCAUGCUCUCUCUGUGUUGGUGA